rnacentral:rRNA from 1 species
ACUCUCGGCAACGGAUAUCUCGGCUCUCGCAUCGAUGAAGAACGUAGCAAAAUGCGAUACCUGGUGUGAAUUGCAGAAUCCCGCGAACCAUCGAGUUUUUGAACGCAAGUUGCGCCCGAAGCCUUCUGGCGGAGGGCACGUCUGCCUGGGCGUCACGCCAAAAGACACUCCCAACACCCCCCCCCCCCCGCGGGGCGAGGGACGUGGCGUCUGGCCCCCCGCGCCGCAGGGCGAGGUGGGCCGAAGCAUGGGCUGCCGGCGAACCGCGUCGGGCGCAGCACGUGGUGGGCGACAUCAAGUUGUUCUCGGUGCAGCGUCCCGGCGCGCGGCCGGCCAUUCGGCCCUAAGGACCCAUCGAGCGACCGAGCUUGUCCUCGGACCGCGACCCCAGGUCAGUCGGGACUACCCGCUGAGUUUAAGCAUAUAAAUAAGCGGAGGAGAAGAAACUUACGAGGAUUCCCCUAGUAACGGCGAGCGAACCGGGAGCAGCCCAGCUUGAGAAUCGGGCGGCCUCGCCGCCCGAAUUGUAGUCUGGAGAGGCGUCCUCAGCGACGGACCGGGCCCAAGUUCUCUGGAAAGGGACGCCUGGGAGGGUGAGAGCCCCGUCCGGCCCGGACCCUGUCGCACCACGAGGCGCCGUCAACGAGUCGGGUUGUUUGGGAAUGCAGCCCAAAUCGGGCGGUAAACUCCGUCCAAGGCUAAAUACAGGCGAGAGACCGAGAGCGAACAAGUACCGCGAGGGAAAGAUGAAAAGGACUUUGAAAAGAGAGUCAAAGAGUGCUUGAAAUUGCCGGGAGGGAAGCGGAUGGGGGCUGGCGACGCGCACCGGCCGUAUGCGGAACGGCUCCUGCUGGUCCGCCGAUCGGCUCGGGGCGUGGACCGUUGUCGCCCGCGCCGGCGGCCAAAGCCCGGGGGCCCUAGGCGCCCCCGGCAGCCGUCGUCGGCGCGGACGGUAUCCGCGCGCCUCUGGCGCGCCCCCCGGGGCGCUGCGCCGCAACGGCCUGCGAGCUCCCCAUCCGACCCGUCUUGAAACACGGACCAAGGAGUCUGACAUGCGUGCGAGUCGACGGGUUCAGAAACCUGAGAUGCGCAAGGAAGCUGACGAGCGGGAGGCCCUCACGAGCCGCACCGCUGGCCGACCCUGAUCUUCUGUGAAGGGUUCGAGUUGGAGCACGCCUGUCGGGACCCGAAAGAUGGUGAACUAUGCCUGAGCGGGGCGAAGCCAGAGGAAACUCUGGUGGAGGCUCGAAGCGAUACUGACGUGCAAAUCGUUCGUCUGACUUGGGUAUAGGGGCGAAAGACUAAUCGAACCAUCUAGUAGCUGGUUCCCUCCGAAGUUUCCCUCAGGAUAGCUGGAGCCCACACGAGUUCUAUCGGGUAAAGCCAAUGAUUAGAGGCAUCGGGGGCACAACGCCCUCGACCUAUUCUCAAACUUUAAAUAGGUAGGACGGCGUGGCUGCUUCGGUGAGCCGUGCCACGGAAUCGGGAGCUCCAAGUGGGCCAUUUUUGGUAAGCAGAACUGGCGAUGCGGGAUGAACCGGAAGCCGAGUUACGGUGCCAAACUGCGCGCUAACCUAGAACCCACAAAGGGUGUUGGUCGAUUAAGACAGCAGGACGGUGGUCAUGGAAGUCGAAAUCCGCUAAGGAGUGUGUAACAACUCACCUGCCGAAUCAACUAGCCCCGAAAAUGGAUGGCGCUGAAGCGCGCGACCCACACCCGGCCAUCUGGGCGAGCGACAUGCCCCGAUGAGUAGGAGGGCGCGGCGGCCGCCGCAAAACCCGGGGCGCGAGCCCAGGCGGAGCGGCCGUCGGUGCAGAUCUUGGUGGUAGUAGCAAAUAUUCAAAUGAGAACUUUGAAGGCCGAAGAGGAGAAAGGUUCCAUGUGAACGGCACUUGCACAUGGGUAAGCCGAUCCUAAGGGACAGGGGAAACCCGGCAGAUAGCGCGAUCACGCGCGUCACCCGAAAGGGAAUCGGGUUAAGAUUUCCCGAGCCGGGACGUGGCGGCAGACGGCGACGUUAGGAAGUCCGGAGACGCCGGCGGGGGCCUCGGGAAGAGUUAUCUUUUCUGCUUAAUGGCCCGCCAACCCUGGAAUCUGUGGUGGAACUGCCCGAAUUAUUCCAACUUAAGUGCCCAAGUCCCGCCUUAGAGGCUAGACCACACUUAAAUGGGAAUAACCCGUCAAUCCCUCGGAUCUAGUCCGACACGGCCACUGACAGGAUCAAGUACCACAAUCUCACUCGAAGGUGAGUCACAGAGCAAAUACAAUAAAGCAUAAAACCAUACAUGUCACAAUGUUAGAUUAUUACAUCACCAUCAUCAUCAUCGGAGUUUUGCAAAAGUAACCAUCAUUGUUCGAAGUGCAGCGGAAUAAAACUAACGAUAAUUAAACAGAGAGAUGGGGAAGCCUGUCCCAUCACUCCUCAUGCUCCUCCUCGGCUGAGGCAGGGUCCCACUCAACAGUCCAACCCGGUGGCAAGGUGGACGACCAAGUUAUCCCAGCAACCAUCUCCUCCAGAGAACCUGUAAAAAUUAUCCCACAAGCAAGGCUGAGUAUACUAAUACUCAGCUAGACUUACCCGGUGUGAGGAGUCUACUCCUCUACCUCUAGACAUGCAGCUGUUUGGCUGUGGGGUUUGGUUGCCAAAAGCACUAGCUGAGUUUCUAAUUCAAGAUUUUAACUUAGUCAAGGUUAAGUGUGACUCUCUUAAGGCUAAAGGUGAACUAUCUACUCAUACAAAGUAGCAAACAUUUUAGCAAUCAACAUAUUAUAUCAUCUCCGCAUCAUUCCACUUGUUACUCAAUGUAGCAGCAUGGAUCAAGCAGUCUCAUUAGCUGCGAGAAGCAGACGAUUCGAAUCGAGUUUUUAAACCUUGCAAGGUAAACCUAAACACACGACAUGUAGGGGCACUCCGUCCCCACACACAUCAACCGUCCCCAUCGAUUCCCCGUCAGCAGAUCAGGG